UGAGAUACGGACAACAUUCCUCCGUGAAUAGGAGGCCAAGCUCUUUUUUUCCUAUCUAGUGGAAGAGAUUGCAGAACUUCUUUGGAAUAUCCUUCGGUGAUAUUGGAGUCUUAACACCAGAUGCCAGAAGACACAAAUGCUUCUGCUUCAUUUAACACAUAUCUGAAAUGGCACAACCAGGCACAAAAGCUAACAAAGACCUAGAAGCUUAGCCUGCUAGAGAAGUGUGAAGAGAUGAGAUGGCGUCAGGACUUUCCUUCUGUCACGUAUCUGGAGCUCCUACAAUGGAGGACCUAAAUUGCUUCAAGGAGAAGCCAAGCUACCAUGAGCUGUUUAUAGAGUCUGACCUUGGGAAUGCCUGCAGCAAGAAAGGAAGAAGUCAGUGGCAAAGUAUUUUAUUUACCUGGAUCCCUCAAAGUUUUUCUAAGGGAAAGACGCAUUUCUUUGUAGCGAAUUUGAGUCCACUAACAAGAGGCAUUCCUGAUCUCAAAGAAUUCAGGCCAACUGGCUUUAGUUGCUGGCAGAUAGAAAGUGAGAACAAAAACGAGGUGUUAAAAAAGUGCCAGGAAAAUCUCCAAGCAGUCCUCAGUGUGAAGAGAUCCAGCUUGUCAGCCAC
rnacentral:lncRNA from 1 species